rnacentral:rRNA from 1 species
CAAAUGUGAAAUCCCCGAGCUUAACUUGGGAAUUGCAUUCGAUACUGGUUGGCUAGAGUAUGGGAGAGGAUGGUAGAAUUCCAGGUGUAGCGGUGAAAUGCGUAGAGAUCUGGAGGAAUACCGAUGGCGAAGGCAGUCAUCUGGCCUAAUACUGACGCUGAGGUACGAAAGCAUGGGGAGCAAACAGGAUUAGAUACCCUGGUAGUCCAUGCCGUAAACGAUGUCUACUAGCCGUUGGGGCCCUUGAGGCUUUAGUGGCGCAGCUAACGCGAUAAGUAGACCGCCUGGGGAGUACGGUCGCAAGACUAAAACUCAAAUGAAUUGACGGGGGCCCGCACAAGCGGUGGAGCAUGUGGUUUAAUUCGAUGCAACGCGAAGAACCUUACCUGGCCUUGACAUACAGAGAACUUUCCAGAGAUGGAUUGGUGCCUUCGGGAACUCUGAUACAGGUGCUGCAUGGCUGUCGUCAGCUCGUGUCGUGAGAUGUUGGGUUAAGUCCCGCAACGAGCGCAACCCUUUUCCUUAUUUGCCAGCACUUCGGGUGGGAACUUUAAGGAUACUGCCAGUGACAAACUGGAGGAAGGCGGGGACGACGUCAAGUCAUCAUGG